GUUUGAAAACGCCUGCUAAGGUUUUUCUUCCACGGAGGAAUUUGGUUAAGCCGCCAAAGAAGAAUGUGUGAAGCAGGCUGGGCGCCAUGUUGGAAGUACAUAGAACGUAUGGCUGGAGCUAUUUUCUUUAGUUAUUAUUUGUUUUACAGUAAUAUGGCAAACUGCACUUGUCUAUAUUGUCGGAACACUAGACCGUGCACACUAGAGGAUGCUAGUGUGUUGGUUUGCAUUAAUGUUUGAGGCAGUGUGACAUAUCUUUCGGCGUCUUCCAAACACAUUCAUAUUUCCAUUGCAAAUAAAUAUAUUUUUUUCAAAGAACAGUAAUGACUCCUGUCGAAAAAGCUUUUCCUUCAUUUGCAUUUAGUAUUUGGCGCGUAAAAAAUACCGGCGCUGAAAUUCCAGUUCUACUGCAGCUGCCAGCGCCGCACAGCGAUUGGUCUAGAGCCACGUCAGUCUGGGUUUAGCCGCACCCCUCCCCCCAUUCAACCACUGGCUUUAAUGUUGCUGUGUGUUUACUACAGUAUUUAGUAUAAGGGGCUAUUCGCCUUUUACAUGCUGUGAACUCUCAAUAACACAACCGAGGCUUUUAGGUUUAUUUUAAAGAAGCCAUUCAGGAAUCCAACAUGCCCAAACGAAAGCAACAGGGAGCUGAGGGGGAUGCCAAGGAGGAGCCGCAGAGGCGAUCUGCACGGUUAUCGGCAAAACCGGCACCACCCAAGCCUGAACCAAAACCUAAAAAGCCAGCAAAGAAAGAGAAGGCAGUGAACGAUAAGAAGGAGGAGAAGAAGGCCAAGGGCAAAAAGGGGAAGGCAGAGGGAGAGGCUAACGAGGAGAACCACUCUGAAAACGGAGAGGCCAAGACUAACGAGGUGGAGAAGACUCCUGAAGAAACUGAGAAGGAGGAAGCAAAAUCUGAGUAGCUACACUGCCGCCUCCCAGCCCCCACUCCCUCAACCCCUGAAAUACCCCCAAAUCUCUUACGCGUUUGCCCUAAACCUCCAUGGCAUAUUGUUAACAGAGGAAUAUUUUUAUCAACAAUUUUAUAAAUAUCGGUACAGGUUUUUAGCACAAAAUAAAGCUAAAUACGGAAGACCA
rnacentral:lncRNA from 1 species